rnacentral:rRNA from 1 species
GAUGAACGCUGGCGGCGUGCUUAACACAUGCAAGUCGAACGAGAAAUGGAGACGGAAACCUUCGGGCGGAAGGCUUCAUUUCGAGUGGCGGACGGGUGAGUAACGCGUGGGUAACCUGCCUCAUACAGGGGGAUAACAGUUGGAAACGACUGUUAAUACCGCAUCAGACCACAGCACCGCAUGGUGCGGGGGUAAAAACUCCGGUGGUAUGAGAUGGACCCGCGUUCGAUUAGCCAGUUGGCGGGGUAACGGCCCACCAAAGCGACGAUCGAUAGCCGAUCGGAGAGGAGGACCGGCCACAUUGGGAAUGAGACACGGCCCAAAAUCCUACGGGAGGCAGCAGUGGGGAAUAUUGCACAAUGGGGGAAACCCUGAUGCAGCGACGCCGCGUGAGUGAAGAAGUACUUCGGUAUGUAAAGCUCUAUCAGCAGGGAAGAAAAUGACGGUACCUGAGGAAGAAGCCCCGGCUAACUACGUG